UGGGGAAUAUUGGACAAUGGGCGCAAGCCUGAUCCAGCCAUGCCGCGUGUGUGAAGAAGGUCUUCGGAUUGUAAAGCACUUUAAGUUGGGAGGAAGGGUUGUAGAUUAAUACUCUGCAAUUUUGACGUUACCGACAGAAUAAGCACCGGCUAACUCUGUGCCAGCAGCCGCGGUAAUACAGAGGGUGCAAGCGUUAAUCGGAAUUACUGGGCGUAAAGCGCGCGUAGGUGGUUAUGUAAGUUGAAUGUGA
rnacentral:rRNA from 1 species